rnacentral:lncRNA from 1 species
ACAUGGGAUUUAGGGUUUGGGUUGUGGGGGAUAGAAGGGUGUAGUCGUGGAGGGGGUGAAGGGGAUUGAGGGGUGUUGGGUAGGGAAGACGAAGGAGAUUCUGGGUUUUUUUUUUAAUACUUUUGUUUAAUUAAUUAUUUUAAAAUUUUAAAUUUGGGCGGGAAAUUAUUUUUUUUAAUUGUUAAUUUUCACGUGGACCCCUUAAUGACAUGUGGCGCCCAGUCAUUUUUCACAUAGGUGCCACAUCAUCAAUUAACGGGAGACUUAACAGCCAGACUAACGAAUGUAUGAAACUGUCCCAAAAUUAACAUUUUAGGUAUGACUCUGGGACGAAAAAAACUUUAUGUACUAAAUGUUGAAAACCACGAAACUUAAAGGUAGUAAACUGAGAUUUACCCUAUUUUGUUUUAUGAUUGUUUGUAACUAAUUUCGUUUGUUAGGGCGAGGCCACGAGCCUUAGUAAGAAUAUGUAGUUUCUUUUCAAUUUACUUAUGAUAUUAUGCAUGCAAGUUUUGAAUUAUUAGUCACUGUGUUUAAAUUAUAUAAGUGUUUUAGUGAUUGGCCAACAUUAGGAUAUUUAGAAAAGUAAUUUGAUGCAAUUUUGGCGGAGGGUUGUCCCUGAAAUUGACCAAGGCUUCUUGUGGUUAAUAUGUGUAACUUCUUAGGAUGGACAACACGUUUUAAGGGUUGUAUGAUUUUUCAAAAGGUUUUCACAAAACUUAAUGAAUCUUGCAUGUUCACAUUCGAUUUGGACGCCAUGGACGGGUUGCAUGUUAGAUAUACGUUCUAUGUUGGAGGUUCCAAGUCGGGCAUAUAUUAGGAAAACCUAUCCUUCAAAAUAUGCAUGGGUAAUUCAUAAGUGAUUGGAAGAACUACGUAGGAUUGUUAAGGUGACUGAGGAACCCUAGAGCGUAAAUAGGUUUUCAAAACUAUUUUCUUUUAUUUUCUUUACUUUCUCAAUUUAUUUAAUUGUUUUUAGUUAAAUUCGUUUUUAUUAUUUUAGGUCAUAAAAUCAACAUUGUCCGAACUUUGUUUUCAAAUAAUUAAUUAAGAUUUGGUAUUUACAUAAGUUAUUCACUCAAUCCAUGUGGAAAACGACCUUGCUAGAAUUGUUAUACUAUGAUUACUUUGUACUCUUGCAAGUAUUUUAAGUGUUUUUAUCCCUACUUUGGCAGG